UCGGCUCAUCACAUCCUGGGGCUGAAGUAGGUCCCAAGGGUAUGGCUGUUCGCCAUUUAAAGUGGUACGCGAGCUGGGUUUAGAACGUCGUGAGACAGUUCGGUCCCUAUCUGCCGUGGGCGCUGGAAGACUGAGGGGGGCUGCUCCUAGUACGAGAGGACCGGAGUGGACGCAUCACUGGUGUUCGGGUUGUCAUGCCAAUGGCACUGCCCGGUAGCUAAAUGCGGAAAAGAUAAGUGCUGAAAGCAUCUAAGCACGAAACUUGCCCCGAGAUGAGUCUUCCCUGAGACUUUGAGUCUCCUGAAGGAACGUUAAAGACGAUGACGUUGAUAGGCCGGGUGUGUAAGCGCAGCGAUGCGUUGAGCUAACCGGUACUAAUGAACCGUGAGGCUUAACCUUACAACGCCGAAGCUGUU
rnacentral:rRNA from 1 species